GAAGAGGGACCACUUACCUUCGCCUAUAAAAAGAGGCGUUCAAUCAUUGAAAAAAGGGAGAAAUUUGGCACCGUCACUCUGCAGAAAUAUAUCCAGAAACCUUCAUUAAAACUAAAAAAACGAGCUUGUUCAAGGUUCUCAAUCGAAAUCUUGAAGAAACUUGAGCUCAGGAUACGAUCUCAUUGCCCACUCAAGAAACUAAAGGAUACAAAGAGUAACAGUAGGAGGAAAAAUAAGAUAACUCACCUCACCACAGAGUCGCUCACGGGGAUAGGACCUUUGCCGGAAUCCAGAAGAUCCGCUGAACUCGGAGCUAUUUUUUUUUCAGAACUUCAGUUUGGGUAAGCGAUUCAGUCUUAUCUCCUUCUAUGAGCUCCCUUUUUGUAGAUCUGGAUUCAUUACUCCUCAUUGUUGUGUUGAACCGAAUCCAUGUUGUUUUAUAGCUCCUAUAUUCUAUGACCUUUUAUUUAAGUUUAUGGUGCGUGUGUUUCUCUUUUGAUUGAGCUUGGUUUUCGAAUUUAUUUCCUUCUCAUUUUUUGUAUGCCUCUUUCUCACGAGGAAGAAGAAGAGAUAAAAAAUAUGAUAUAACAAAGAAAGGAAGUAGUUUAUUUCAUUGGGAGAGGGAGAGGCGAAGGCGAACAUAAGUGCCUUUAUCACGUUCUAGAUCCUUGCUUCAUUCCUUGUUAAGAGUAAGUUCGUUGGCCAUUAAUGAUAAUACUUUUUCUCACUGCCCAAGGCCAGUCACCGCUUUGGUUUUCCCCCUAGUUAUUACUUACCGUUGGAGUUUGGGAGCCAUUGUCUCCUUCACAUUUACUGGUAAAAUGAGAAGGGUUUUAUUGGACUCGGUUCGGGUUCGGAUUACCCGAGGUAGGCGGAGCCCUUUUGGGCCUUCUGGGCUUCGGUUCUCUUUUUCUUUUCUUUGCAGUUUGUGCGCCCUAGUGGGCUACAG
rnacentral:lncRNA from 1 species